rnacentral:lncRNA from 1 species
GAAGAAAAGGACAGGGAUCAGAAAAGGAGGAAGAGAAAUGGAAGAGGACAAAGGGAUGGGAAGAAAAGGUUGGAAGAAAAGGUUGGAAGAAGUGAAUGGGGGUUGGAAAAGAGGAAGAAAAGGACAGGGAUCAGAAAAGGAGGAAGAUAAAUGGAAGAGCAGGAAGGGAUGGGAAGAAAAGGUUGGAAAAAGCUCCUCUCCCAUCCCAGGUGGGCUCUCAGGUAGAAGAGGAGGAAGGGAUGGGAGGAAAAAGUUGGAAGAAGUGAAUGGGGGUUCAAAAAGAGGAAGGGGUUGGAAAAAAGGAUAGGGAUCAGGAAAGGAGAAAGAGAAGUGGAAGAAGAAAGGGUUGGAAGAAAAGGUUGGAAGAAGUGAGUGGAGGCUGAAAAAGUGGAAGAAAAGGAUGGGGAUCAGAGGAGGAGAAAGAGGAAUGGAAGAGGAGGAAAGGGUUGGGAAGAAAAGGUUGGAAGAAGAGAAUUGGGAUUGAAAAGGAGGAAGGGGUGGAAGAAAAGGACAGGGAUCAGAAAA